GUAGGAAAUCCCUCCGCUUAUCUCCGCCACCUCACCUCACCUCACCUUUCCUUCCUUCUUCCACACCCCAACCCAACCGGAAAUCCCUUCCGGUUCCGGCGACGCCACCGCCCCAGAUUUCGCCGCCAAUGCGCCCCAAACCCCUCCUCUCUUAGCCAUGGCCGCCGUCCCACCUCCCUUCCUCAUCCUCCUCAUCCCCCUCCUCGCCGCCGCCGCCCUCACCCUCACCACCGCCGCCACCAUCGACCCGGGCGACCUGGCCGUGCUCGAGGACCUGCGCGGCACCCUCACCAACGCCGCCGACGUCCUCGCCUGGCCGAAACACACCGACGCGUGCGCCUGGCCCCACGUCUCCUGCGACCGCGCCGGCCGGGUCAACAACCUCGACCUCAAGAACGCCAACCUCGCCGGCACCCUCCCGGCCUCCUUCCCCACCCUCACCGCGCUCCAGGACCUCAGCCUCCAGAACAACGCCCUCUCCGGCCCCCUCCCCUCCUUCGCCGGCAUGGCCUCCCUCCGCCACGCCUACCUCAACGGCAACGACUUCCUCUCCAUCCCCGCCGACUUCUUCUCCGACCUCGCCGACCUCGAGGAGAUCUGCCUCGACGACAACCCGCGCCUCAACGCCUCCACCGGCGGCUGGCGCAUCCCCCCAACCCUCCCCGCCUCCGCCCCGCAGCUCCGCGUCCUCCGCCUCGACAACUGCAGCCUCGUCGGCCCCAUCCCGCCGUCCCUCGGCGCCAUGACCGCGCUCCAGAGCCUCAUGCUCGCCUACAACAACCUCACCGGCGCCAUCCCGCCCACCUUCUCCUCCUCCGCCAUCCAGACCCUCUGGCUCAACAACCAGCGCGGCGACGCCGACCGCCUCUCGGGCCCGCUCUCCUUCCUCGCCGGCAUGACCCGCCUCCAGCAGGCCUGGCUCCACGGGAACCACUUCUCGGGCCCCAUCCCCGACGCCAUCGCCAACCUCACCCAGCUCACCCAGCUCUGGCUCAACGGCAACCGCCUCGUCGGCCUCGUGCCGCCCGCCCUACUCUCCCUCCCACUCCUCCGGGACCUCAAGCUCGACGACAACCUCCUCGUCGGCCCGGCCCCCGCGCUGCUCUUCCCCGGCGCCAACGUAACCUUCUCCCACAACGGCUUCUGCGGCGCGGCGUGCGCGCCCGAGGUCACGGCCCUGCUCGGCUUCCUCGCGGGCGUCGGCUUCCCGCAGCGGCUCGCCGAGUCCUGGGCCGGCAACGACCCCUGCAAGGACUGGCUCGGCGUCUCCUGCUACCAGGCCAAGGUCACCCUGCUCAACCUCCCCGGGUACGGCCUCAACGGCAGCGUCAGCGCCAGCCUCGGCAACCUCUCCGCGCUCUCCGACGUCAGGCUCAACGCCAACAACCUCACCGGCCGUGUCCCGGACAGCCUCGCGAGCCUCAAGUCCCUCAGGAAGCUCGAUCUCUCCGCCAACGACCUCACAGGCCCGCUCCCGGCCUUCAGCCACGAUGUCAGCGUCAAUGUCGACGGCAAUCCCAGCUUCAACGGACCAUCCGCGCCUGCCCAUCGGUCGCCGACGACUCCCAGCACACCAGCCGGCUCUCCCAGAGGCGACAACAACACCAACACCACCAGCAACAACAAGAAGAGAUCAGCCCUGGUGCUGGCAGUCACCAUCCCGGUGGCGGUCACCGUGCUGGCCCUCGUCUCGCUGGGCGCCGUGCUGCUCCUCCGCAAGAAGAACAACAACGGCUCUGUCCAGCCGCAGGCGUCCUCCGUCGUCGUCCACCCCCGCGACGGCUCCGGCUCCGGCUCCGACCCGGACAACCUCGUCAAGGUCGCCAUGGCCAGCAGCGACAGCUUCGGCGGCACGUCCAGCGCGACCAGCAGCCGCGACAGCGACAUCCACAUGAUCGAGGCGCGCAGCUUCGUCAUCGCCGUGCAGGUCCUCCGCAGCGCCACCAAGAACUUCGCACAGGACAACGUGCUCGGCCGCGGCGGCUUCGGCGUCGUCUACAAGGGGUGCUGCACGACGGCACCAUGAUCGCUGUGAAGAGGAUGGAGUCCUCCGUCAUCAGCAACAAGGCCCUCGACGAGUUCCAGGCGGAGAUCGCCAUCCUCACCAAGGUCCGGCACCGCAACCUCGUGUCCAUACUCGGCUACGCCAUCGAAGGGAACGAGAGGCUGCUCGUCUACGAGCACAUGUCCAACGGAGCGCUCAGCAAGCAUCUCUUCCAGUGGAAGGUGCACGGCCUGGAGCCCCUGUCCUGGAAGAAGAGGCUCAACAUCGCGCUGGACGUCGCCCGUGGGAUGGAGUACCUUCACACCCUCGCGCAGCAGUGCUACAUCCACAGGGAUCUCAAGCCGGCCAACAUUCUCCUCGGCGAUGAUUUCCGAGCAAAGGUCUCGGACUUUGGGCUGCUUAAAUCUGCGCCGGACGGGAACUUCUCUGUGGCGACCAGACUCGCCGGAACUUUUGGUUACUUGGCGCCUGAAUAUGCUGUGACUGGGAAAAUCACGACAAAAGCAGACGUUUUCAGCUUCGGUGUAGUGCUGAUGGAGCUGAUAACCGGAAUGACCGCCAUCGACGAGAGACGCAUCGACGAGGAAACCCGGUACCUUGCCUCCUGGUUCUGCCAGAUAAGGAAGGACGAAGAGAAGUUCAGGGCAGCCAUCGACCCCGCCCUGGUCCUCACCGACGAGAUUCUCGAGAGCAUCUCGGUGAUCGCAGAUCUAGCCGGGCAUUGCACGUCCCGGGAGCCCUUGCAGCGGCCGGACAUGGGGCACGCCGUGACGGUGUUAGUCCCGAUGGUGGAGAAGUGGAAGCCAUCGAACAACGAAGCCGAAGAUUACAUGGGCAUCGACCUGCACCUGCCGCUGCUCCAGAUGGUGAAGGGGUGGCAGGAGUCGGAAGCGAGCAUGACGGACGGGGACAGCAUCCUCAGCCGCCUCGACGACAGCAAGGGCAGCAUCCCCGCCCGGCCCGCCGGGUUCGCCGAGUCCUUCACCUCCGCCGACGGCCGGUGAAGCGUCUCAUCAUCAUCAUCAUCAUCAUCAUCGUGUCUGCAAAGAAAAAUAAGUACAUUGCCUGUCUCUCCUGGACCCUCUCCCCUCAGUUUUCGCUCGCAGUGUUCUUGUAGGUAAAAGAGUCGUCCGUCCGUCGUCCAUGCGACAGCUUCUUCUGUAGAUAUACAUCUCAGCUUUUUUUCCUGCCGGGUAGGAUGGAUUUGGCUUUGUCGUUCGUUGGUUAUUCCAGUCUUGAGACUGAAGCUUCUGGCUUUACCUAGCAGUCAUCAUCAAAUGAAAUGGUAUAAAUGUUUCUUUAAAUCCA